rnacentral:lncRNA from 1 species
CUUUAAGCACAAGAGGAGGAUCUGGGUCUCACACGGUCCUCCGCCCCUUCUCAUUGUUCCAGCUGCUUCCUGAGGUGGUUACUAAUAAUUGUCACUCAUAAGACCUGCCUCGGGUUUCUUCAUCUGGAAGGAAAUUAAUUUUCCAAGUCACACAAUUACAGACAACUUUUAAAAGAGUCACUGAGACAGUUUCAUGCUUACCUUAGAUUAGAUGGUUCCAGUUUAUUCUUUUUUAAAAAAGAAAAUUUGUGUGAAC